rnacentral:rRNA from 1 species
AUUGAACGCUGGCGGCAGGCUUAACACAUGCAAGUCGAGCGGGGUGAUGGUGCUUGCACUAUCACUUAGCGGCGGACGGGUGAGUAAUGCUUAGGAAUCUGCCUAUUAGUGGGGGACAACAUCUCGAAAGGGAUGCUAAUACCGCAUACGUCCUACGGGAGAAAGCAGGGGAUCACUUGUGACCUUGCGCUAAUAGAUGUGCCUAAGUCGGAUUAGCUAGUUGGUGGGGUAAAGGCCUACCAAGGCGACGAUCUGUAGCGGGUCUGAGAGGAUGAUCCGCCAAACUGGGACUGAGACACGGCCCAGACUCCUACGGGAGGCAGCAGUGGGGAAUAUUGAACAAUGGGGGGAACCCUGAUCCAGCCAUGCCGCGUGUGUGAAGAAGGCCUUAUGGUUGUAAAGCACUUUAAGCGAGGAGGAGGCUCUUUUGGUUAAUACCCAAGAUGAGUGGACGUUACUCGCGGAAUAAGCACCGGCUAACUCUGUGCCAGCAGCCGCCGUAA